UAAGUCAAAAUCAUCACGAUUAAAAGAACCAAAGGCUUAAACUACUUCAGUCUGUGUGCAUUGAAUUUAUUUAAUACACGAGUUUCACAAUUUGAGUUGAAUUACU